rnacentral:rRNA from 1 species
UACGAAGGGAGCUAGCGUUGUUCGGAAUCACUGGGCGUAAAGCGCACGUAGGCGGAUGUGUCAGUCAGGGGUGAAAUCCCGGGAGCUCAACUUCGGAACUGCCUCUGAUACAGCACGUCUUGAGUCCGGAAGAGGUGGGGUGGAAUUCCCUAGUGUAGAGGUGAAAUUCGUAGAUAUUAGGAAGAACACCGGUGGCGAAGGCGGCCCCACUGGUCCGGUACUGACGCUGAGGUGCGAAAGCGUGGGGAGCAAACAGG